rnacentral:rRNA from 1 species
AUUGAACGCUGGCGGCAGGCCUAACACAUGCAAGUCGAGCGAGCGGCGGACGGGUGAGUAUUGUAUGGGGAUCUGCCCGAUAGAGGGGGAUAACUACUGGAAACGGUGGCUAAUACCUCAUCCUAUCGGAAGAACCCAUAUGGUAUUAGCUUGUAGGUGGGGUAAAGCCUGACCUAGGCGACGAUCUCUACCUGGUCUGAGAGGAUUAUCGGCCACCUUGGGACUGAGACACGGCCCAGACUCCUACGGGAGGCAGCAGUGGGGAAUAUUGCACAAAGGGAGCAAGCCUGAUGCAGCCAAGCCGCGUGUAUGAAGAAGGCCUUAGGGUUGUAAAGUACUUUCAGCGGGGAGGCGUUACCCGAAGAAGAAGCACCGGCUAACACCGUGCCAGCAGACGCGGUAAAAC